UGCUGGAGUUACUAAUGCUUUAUUGUUUUUGUUUUUGUCUUUGUUUUGUUUUACUGCUGUUUUUCCUUUUAUCCUAUGAGCCGGGGGUCGACUGGAAACAGCCUCUCUGCCCUUUCGGGUAGGGGUAAGGCUUGUCUACAUAUUACCCUCCCCAGACCCCACCUGGUGGGAGUAUACUGGGUAGUUGUUGUUGUUGUUGUUGUUGUUGU
rnacentral:lncRNA from 1 species